CAGCAGCCGCGGUAAUGCGUAGGGUGCGAGCGUUAAUCGGAAUUACUGGGCGUAAAGUGUGCGCAGGCGGUUUUGUAAGACAGGCGUGAAAUCCCCGGGCUCAACCUGGGAAUGGCGCUUGUGACUGCAAAGCUAGAGUGCGGCAGAGGGGGAUGGAAUUCCGCGUGUGGCAGUGAAAUGCGUAGAUAUGCGGAGGAACACCGAUGGCGAAGGCAAUCCCCUGGGCCUGCACUGGCGCUCACGCACGAAAGCGUGGGGAGCGAACAGGAUUAGAUACCCCCGUAGUCCCUGUCUCUUAUAC
rnacentral:rRNA from 1 species